rnacentral:tRNA from 1 species
GGAGAGGUGGCCGAGUGGUCGAAGGCGCACGCCUGGAAAGUGUGUAUACCUCAAAAGGGUAUCGUGGGUUCGAAUCCCACUCUCUCCGCAA